CCAAGCAAGUAUUUACCAGGGCCCUUAUUCGACAUGCUAAAAGUGACGUUUCGUGUUGAUUUCCAUUUGAUGUGGGAAAUAUUGUGACUUGUCGAAUUGCUAUCAUCAACACCUGUCAGUGAACAAUAUCCACACUAGAGGCGGGGCGUUGUACCGGAAUAGUUUUUGGAACAGGUUUUUUGUAAUAGACUACUUUUAGCUUGUCGAGUAUUUAAAAGUACGAACUUUGAUUUCUGAAAUAAAACAAAUAUGAAACUUUCAUCACCUCGUACCUCCAUUCUUACCGUUACUUUAAGCAAAACAAAAUUUUGUUAACAGACGGUCGUCUGGGCGUCUGUUGUAUCUAAAAAUAGUGUAAUAAUAUAUAAUAAAAAUAUGUCAAUGGAUUCAUAGCCUUCACUCAAAACGUCAUAAUAUUUCCGACCCCUACCGAAAUAAUAAGUCGAUAUUUGCAUAAAUAAUCCUUAUUUGUAAGACGCCUAAGACCGGCAAAUACGUAAACUGCCUAUUGGGGGUCAUACUCGUAAAAGUGGUAUUUUAGACGUACUUUUGGUACGAGUAACAGAGACGUACUUUUGGUACGCAGUCCCAGCUCUAGUCAGGAUUCUAGUUGUCAAAUAUAAGCGUGUCGAAUACGUAUUAGUUAACUGUCAAAUGAAAUUAGAUCAACGGUAGACUUUUUUGUCGAUGGGUAUGGCUGCCAUGUUUGGAUUUAUGACAUUUGCAAGGGGAUCCUAAGGCAGAGAGUAGUUUUUUCUGUACGAUUUUGAUUCUUCUACUCGACGCAAGAUGGAGUUAGCUGCCAAAUUCCGAUCUUGGCGUUAUAAAAAUAAACCGCAAGAACCAUGACAAUGACAUGCAGUUGCGUCGAUGUAGAUCUAUCAUAAAAACGUACAUGUGACAAUUGUCCAGGAUUUAAAAAAAUCUUGACAAUUAAUAAAUGUCAAAAAGAAAACUGAUUUAUUAUAAAAAUACAAAUUAUAUAUAAAGUUUGAUUUUAAAACCAAUGGUCGUGGGUCCUAACCCCGGCUCUUAACAAUGAACAUCUUGUAACUUGUGUGCAAAAUAUCAUUUAACUUUUACCAAUUACUUUUCGGUUAAAUAAAAUAUCACGAGGAAGAAGUAGCCCCAAUAAGGUGUUAUCAAGAAAAAAGGUCUUAACAGAUUUAUGAAUAGGCAUUGGCAGAAAAACAGGCGUCCGACCACGCAUAAUGGAGGAUUCUAUUUCUUUUAUCAUGUAGCUAUAUCUAUAUGACCUCUGCCGCCGACUUUUUCACCCGUUGGCGCCUGUGCCCAAAUCCUUCUAAGACCGAAGUUUGCUGUUUCCACCUGUCCAAUAAGCUGGCACAUAAGACCCUCAGAGUUAGAUUCCGGGGUACAGCCUUACAACAUAACUAUUCCCCAAAGUAUCUCGGUGUUACACUGGACAGAAGCCUGACAUACCGAUUGCACAUAGAGAAGCUAAAAAGUAAAAUAAGGACCAGGAUAUUUUAAUUACGAUACAUAAAUAACUACUAAAACAUGUUUUCUGCAAGAAAUUAGUUAUCUUAUUAUAUUAUAAAAUAUUUAUUAUCCAUCUGUGAUGUUUAUUUCUUGUGAAGAUAUCGAAGUUUCGCUGUGUAGCACUUAUCGAUAUAUAAUAUGAUCAAAAUCGACCCGUCCACAUCCCUAAAAAUCCACACAUACACAUUUUUACGCACAUAUACAAAACAGUAUAACCACCAAAAUGGCUACGGCUUGAGUAUUCAAAUUUGUAUUGAGAAAAGGCAACUAUAUCCUGUCUUUAUUUGCCUCUCUAUCGCUCGAAUAUGCAAUACGCAUGCACUCUUCGUCAAAAUCGGUUUCAAACUUUUUCGACUGAGUACGCGCAAUAAACGCCUAGUAGUAGUAUUUAAAUGUUUACCGUAUUCAUUUAAAGCAUCGUAGGACAAUGCCGCUAUGUAAACUGUAAGGUGGGUCUUAAAUUAGUGUGAGUUAUUUUGGCACCGGACUCAACCUUCACGUUACAAUAUUUAAAGUAUUGCGCUGUCAUAGUAACGAAAAUGAUAAACACGUCAAUCGGAGUAAACAAGUAACUAAAUGAUGCAAACAAGAAAAUAUUGCAAAAUAGGUACAUAUAUAUGUACCGAUAAUUAUUUUGUGUUAAAAAUAUGAGGCAAAUUAUACUGCCCGAUUAUACGGACUACAUAUUAAAAACGAUUAUCUUGGAAACAGUCAAUAGAUGUCGAACCACCAGCAAAGUUUUUGAAGAGGUGUACCUAGUUCCUGGUACCAACUGGAAACUGAAACUAAUAAUCUAAACUCAAGAAAAUGAAAUAUAGUCACAGAAAACUUUAA